rnacentral:lncRNA from 1 species
UUUAAAAAUGUUUUUAUUUAUUUUUGAGACAGAGAGAGACAGAGCAUGGGCAGGGGAGGGGCAGAGAGAGAGGGAGACACAGAAUCUGAAGCAGGCUCCAGGCUCUGAGCUGUCAGCACAGAGCCUGACAUGGGGCUCGAGCUCACGGACUGUAAGAUCAUGACGCGAGCUGAAGUCGGACGCUUAACCGACUAAGCCACCCAGGCGCCCCAAAGGCCCACAUUAUAGCCUCACCAUCCAGAGCAGGCAGGUCACCUUGGCACUCCUAGUCCCCAUCCGGCUCCCAGGCCCGGGAAAAGCAGAGCAGAGACAUGGAGGGGGCCUAGAACCAAAAGCGCAAGGCUCAAGCACCGCUCGAAUGUCCAACCAAACCCCAAGCCUGUGCUGCUCCUUUUAAGGAAGGGCCGCAGAAAGGAGUCUGCCAGACAUGGACUGGCCUAUAGCUGGAGGGAAUGCAGGACUAGGGGUGGAAGAAGAAGAGGCUGUCAGGAAAGGAGCCACAGAAACAAAGAUAAAGCCAGGAGAGCACAGGAGAGUUCCCAGCAGGAGGCGGGGAUGGUGAAGGGGCGGGCCCGGCCACGUUUGAGUAGCUCCAAGCAGGAUGGAACCAGUUCUGCAGAUGCUGCCCACUGUUCCGUGCCUGGGGCUCACCUCCAAGGAGUAGCGCCCAAUCUUCUCACACACAGGAUACUGCUCCCACCCUUCUUCACCAUGGCAAAACCCAGUCAUCGAGACUUGAACAUGAACUCCAUUUUCUCAGAGAACAACAGAAUCUGGCUAGAAUUUCCUUGCAAGUACACCCAAAUGCAUGAGUAAUUUGUGGCCAAAUACUGAAAUGACAGCAUUGAGAUGUGGCCAUACAACCUUACCUAUUUCACGUGCAUAGUAAGACUUCUUAGCCAGGUGAGAGAAACAGGUGUAUGUGUGUGUGUAUUCCAUUUUUGAACUUGGGAAUAUGUAAUUUAGGAAGAAUAAUUAGUUUACUCCCAUUAUCCAGGAGUAAUACUUUUGUUCCAGUUAGAAUAGCACAUCAGGUCACCAAAUAGCUUCAUAAGUUUGUAUUACUUAUUUUUUCCUAGAUUAUGGCUAUUUAUUCGAAUCAUGUAUAUUUGAGGGUGGGAGGAUUGUUUGAAUGCUCGCCUGUUUUUAUAGAUGUGUCAGUGAGAGGUUGGGAGACUGUAAAUCAAGGCUGCUGUCAAAGAAUCACUUACAUAAAACAAGCCAGUUCUCUUCCUAUACUUCAUAUUUCAUACACUCCAUACUUCUUCAUACUGCCCUCUUUAAGUCAUAUCAUUAUUGAAGACCAGUGUUCAUUAUAUACCACAUGAUAUAGUCUCUAAGCCUAAUGGAUGUUUUUGCCCAUUGCAACCAGCUACCAAGAAAUUAUGAAUGGAGAAAUGUUAACAAUAAAACCGAAAACCAUCCAAAUAAGUUCA